rnacentral:pre_miRNA from 1 species
AGUGUAAUUUCUGGGUCUUAUGAUAACUGUUUAACAUUUUGAGGAACUGCUGAGCUAUUUUCCAAAGCAGCUGCACCAUUUUACAUCCCUACCAGCAAU